CGAACGGAGAAUUGCUAGCUUGCUAAUAAUUCUCUAGUGGCGCACGGGUGAGUAACACGUGAGUACCUGCCCCCAAGAGUGGGAUAGCCCCGGGAAACUGGGAUUAAUACCGCAUAAAGCAAUAAAGCAGCAAUGCGCUUGGGGAUGGGCUCGCGUCCUAUUAGUUAGUUGGUGAGGUAACGGCUCACCAAGGCGAUGACGGGUAGCCGGUCUGAGAGGAUGUCCGGCCACACUGGAACUGAGACACGGUCCAGACACCUACGGGUGGCAGCAGUCGAGAAUCAUUCACAAUGGGGGAAACCCUGAUGGUGCGACGCCGCGUGGGGGAUAAGGUCUUCGGAUUGUAAACCCCUGUCAUGUGGGACAUUAAAAGAUAGUACCACAAGAGGAAGAGACGGCUAACUCUGUGCCAGCAGCCGCGGUAAUACAGAGGUCUCAAGCGUUGUUCGGAAUCACUGGGCGUAAAGCGUGCGUAGGCGGUUUCGUAAGUCGUGUGUGAAAGGCGGGGGCUCAACCCCCGGACUGCACAUGAUACUGCGAGACUAGAGUAAUGGAGGGGGAACCGGAAUUCUCGGUGUAGCAGUGAAAUGCGUAGAUAUCGGGAGGAACACUCGUGGCGAAGGCGGGUUCCUGGACAUUAACUGACGCUGAGGCACGAAGGCCAGGGGAGCGAAAGGGA
rnacentral:rRNA from 1 species